UACGGAGGGAGCUAGCGUUGUUCGGAAUUACUGGGCGUAAAGCGCGCGUAGGCGGCUUUGUAAGUUAGAGGUGAAAGCCCGGGGCUCAACCCCGGAACUGCCUUUAAAACUGCAUCGCUUGAAUCCAGGAGAGGUGAGUGGAAUUCCGAGUGUAGAGGUGAAAUUCGUAGGUAUUCGGAAGAACACCAGUGGCGAAGGCGGCUCACUGGACUGGUAUUGACGCUGAUGUGCGAAAGCGUGGGGAG
rnacentral:rRNA from 1 species